UACGUAGGGGGCUAGCGUUGUCCGGAAUCAUUGGGCGUAAAGAGCGCGUAGGCGGCCCGGUAAGUCUGCUGUAAAAGUCAAAGGCUUAACCUUUGAAAGUCAGUGGAUACUGGAGGGCUGGAGACAGGUAGAGGCAAGCGGAAUUCCGGGUGUAGCGGUGGAAUGCGUAGAGAUCCGGAAGAACACCGGAGGCGAAGGCGGCUUGCUGGACCUGGUCUGACGCUGAGGCGCGAAAGCGUGGGGAGCGAACAGG
rnacentral:rRNA from 1 species